rnacentral:lncRNA from 1 species
GCUCAUCUUGCAACAAAUUUCUUGCUUGUACUCUUUCAUGUCUUCUUUUUCAACUAGCUUGUUUUUCUCAAAGCAAUGUUUUCAUUUUUAUUAACUAUAAUCUUUCAUCAUAUAAUACUAAAAUUACUUUCUAUUUCUGAUCUAAUUAUACAUUUGACUUUUCUUUCAAACCAGCACCAAUUUUAUAACCUCUUUGUGCAACAUCCAAAACCACUUGUUCUGCAGUUAAUUCCUAACACUCAAUACUAUUAUCAAUUCUUAGUAGUAGUGCCAAAAUGUAAUUAUCAUUUUACUUACUUUUCAAAUACUACCUGAAAUAAAUCUAUAAACGAGAGUUCAAAGAUGAGGAAAGACUAUCCGUAUGAAUUUAUACAUUAGGAUCAUACAAUUAAUUAUCUUUUGAUCCACUAAAAACAUCCAAAAAUGCUACAAUGCCUUCUACAAUCUAUCGAUUCUUCUUCUAACAAAUGAAAUAUUUUAAUUGAUAAUUCCAUCUUAUGCAUUCACUAUCUCUUCUCUUCUCCAAACUUAUGACAACAAUAUGUAAUACUAUACUAAAAAGAAUGCAUAAAAUAUUCUAUAAUCUAAUCACUAGAACUUUCUAAAAUUAACUAUCAUUCCUAGUAAUCUAUUUCACACAAUUCUAGACUCCACAAAC